GUGUGUGUGUGUGUGUGUGUGCGUGUGCGUGUGUGUGUGUGUGUGCGUGCGUGGGGGUGGGUAGGUGUAUGCGUGAGAGAGUUAAGACACAGGAUCAGGGUAAAUCUGCUCCCUAACAGCUAUAUAUUAGCAUCCCAAAACAACAGCAUAUCAACACUUCUGAAGAUGCCAAUUAGUUAAGUCACGCACAAACACCCUAUUUAGCAAAGAAUUCCUCUAUAUUUACUGUACACUCAGGGUCAGCUAGGACAUUGGUAACUUGUGACUUCAAGUCCCUGACUGUACUUACAGCAUUAGGCAGUCAGGUAUUUUGCUCUGUUGGGAAUUGGAUAUUUGGGAUGUUUUAUGAUCCUUUGGAGAUGGGGGUGGUAUGUAGUGCUAGAGUUGUUAGAGUUGCAGAAAUGUAGCUGCAAAGUUGCUAGUUGGAAUCCUUGGCUGAGCACUUAAGAGAACCGGGGACUUCUAUACACACUCCUAAUCUCCUUGUUAUAGAGCAACUACUCCACCUCCCCUGGCCAGGACAGCUGACAUGCUUUGACAAUGUCACCCUCAAGUCCCAACAACAAAAGACCUUAGCAUCUUUUUGCCCCUCUCUCCUUGCUGGCAUGGUGAUCGUGGCAGUAAAUCGCACAGUCAGACAUGCUCCCUUCCUCCCUCUCUUUUUUUCCACAACACAGCUGGGAGAAAAGGGAGGGAGACGAAAACAUCCCAACAGACGUGUGUGAAAUCCCGAGAGAGGAAUCACUGUGACCAGAAGGAGAGAAAGGGGGAAGAAAAGGAAAGAAAAGGAAAUGGAGGAAUUAUAGAAAAGCAAGCGGGGCUCUGGGGCCAGUUUGUGAAUAUUGCUCAACGUGAAUUUGGCCGUCGCUUCACACUGAGCUAUUGAAUCACAGAACAACCGGAACAUUUCAAUAUGAAAGAUUCUUAGAAGCUGCUAAGCUCCAAUUCAUGUGGGGGUGUUUUCUGAUUCCCGGUUCUAUUCUUAUCAUUUAAUUUCUCUGCUUUGCUUUGAAUACGUCCUUAUUCACGUUGGAUUUGCGUCUGUGUGUACGGGAUAGGGAAUGGAGUGGAGUGUUUUAUAAAAGGAGCAAUUCCAGGUUAACUACAGGGAAUUAAACACCUAGUUGCAUCCUGUAGCUCACAGAAUACUGGUAGAUUCACCAACCCAAAGAACCUGGAGUUCACUCUCUCUCAGGACUAGGAAUAUGUGUGUUUGAGUGGUUUAAAUAGGGUAGAGUAGGGUAAGUUGAGCCCUUUUUUUACAUUCAGCAUCACUUCGUUAACCUCUUGAAGCUAGGGGCACUAUUUUCAUGUUUAGGAUAUAUUAGGAUAGAAAACACUCUAAAGUUUCCAAAACUGUCAAAAUAUUGUCUGUGAGUAUAACAGAACUGAUAUUGCAGGCAAAACCCUGAGGAAAAUCCAAUCAGGAAGUGCCUCUUAUUUUGAAAGCUUUCUGUUCCUAUGCAUGUCUAUCCUCCAUUUAAAGGGAUAUCAACCAGAUUCAUUUUUCUAUGGCUUCCCUAAGGUGACAACAGUCUUUAGACAUAGUUUGAUAGGUGGGGGCUCUCAGAGUGAGUUAUUGCGCUACAGAGUAAAGCCGCCAUUGUUCCUCCCGCUGUUAUUGAAAAACCUACACACUCGGUUGAUAUAUUAUCAAAUAUAUAUUUUAAAAACUACCUGAGGAAUGAUUAUAAAAAAACGUUUGACAUGUUUCUGUGGACAUUAUGAAGACCAUUUGGAAUUUCCGUCUGCGUUGUCAUGACCGCUCUUUCCUGUGGAUUCCUGAACAUAAUGCGAUAAACAAACGGAGGUAUUUUGGGUAUAAAAAUAAUCUUUAUGGAACAAAAGGAACAUUUGUUGUGUAACUGGGUCUCGUGAGUGAAAACAUCCGAAGAUCAUCAAAGGUCAACGGUUAAUUUGAUUGCUUUUCUGAUUUUCGUGACCAAGCUUCCUGAUGCUAAGUGUACAUAAUGCUAUGCUCGGCUAUCGAUAAACUUACACAAACGCUUGGAUUGCUUUCGCUGUAAAGCAUCAUUUCAAAAUCUGAGACGACAGGUGAAUUAACAAAAGGCUAAGCUGUGUUUCGCAAUAUUGCACUUGUGAUUUCAUGAAUAUGAAUAUUUUUUAUCAAUAUUAUUUGACAACUCAAUAUUAGGAAGCUGUGCCUAAUGUUUUGUACACUUAGUGUAUAUUUUGGGAUGUUGUGUAUCCCUGGAAAUAAUCGGAAUUCAUGUAAACAUUACAGUUUUGAAAACAUAGCUUGUCCAAAAAAAGUGGUCACUUGGUACAAGAUACCCCAGGUGUGGGGUAAGUUGAGCUGCGGGACAGGGUAAGUUAAGCUGUGUGGGGUAAGUUGAGCUGCGGGACAGGGUAAGUUAAGCUGCUCACAAAUUCUUGUACUGAAUGAAAUAAUACCACUACCUUUUUAAAACACAUUUCAUUUCAAUACAAUCACAAUCGCUUUUUGUCUUUUAAGCAUUUUAAGCAUCUUUUAACACAGGCUUAACACCUAACAAACAACUUGUACUUUUCUUAACACUUUUAAAAUAGGCCAGACCCUGUUGUUACCUCAUAUGCUAGCAAUAAUGGGAACAAAACACUUAAAUUUGCUCAACUUGCUAUUGGCUCAACGAUGGGCUCAACUUACCCCAAGGUAAACACAUUUUGACUACAAGGAUGCACUUUCAUGCUUGAUUUAGGACCUCAUAUUGAAGCUUAUAGAGACCACAACUGCUGUACAAGUAUAAAACAAUCUUAAAAUGAUCAACUUCGGUUGAUCCUCUAUCUCAGUAAAUUCAUUUGACUUGGUGAAAAUAUAUAUAUAUAUUUUUUUUACCUAACUUGCUUAUUACUUUUUCUAUGUGGUUUCUUCCUUCAUAUACUCCAUGAAAUGAUGACCUGUUCCUAAAUAUUUGGUCAAAUUAUAGAUUGUGUGCAUGAUUUCCUAGAAACAAGGGUAACUCACACACACGCACACACACGCACACACACACACACACACACACACACACACACACACACACACACACACACACACACACACACACACACACACACACACACACACACACACACAGCUGAUUUUACAUUAGCCCCCUCCCGAAUGAGACAAAUGCAACAAAAGUCUAACUUUGGGGGGGUCUCUAAUAAUCCAUCAUUUUGUUUAAAAUGCUACUUUGUACUUCAACAGUGGUAAAUAUGAAAUGUUAAAAGCGUAUUCCAAAUUAAACAAGCACCCCCGCCUCUCAAGGUUUAAACCAGUGAAAGUUAGUUCAGGGUCUUUGAAUCGCGUUAAUCUCUCUAAAUGACUUAAAUGUAAUGUAAAAUGUACUCUGCCAGUCUGCCUUUCUAUCUGUCUGUCUUUCGCCAGCAAAUUUGCAACAUUGUAUCGACUGGAUCUAGCCAGCUAGUGAACCUGCAACAUUAUCAACUGGGUCCAGCCCGCUACCGAACUUGAAACAGCUCGAUGAGCGCAGGACAGACACCGCUGUAUUUGCAUUCCAUAUUUCAGCCCCUUUUCAGGUGUCCCAACUUUUCUUCUAUUCUUCAAGAGUGAAUGUGGUGCCGGAGAAGGACUGUUGUCUAUUCUGCUAUCACAGGGGUUGGGUUAAAUGCUGAAGACACAUUUCAAUUCCAUGCAAUCGGUUGUGAAACUGACUCGGUAUCCCCUUUCCCUUCAAAUAUGGCAGACAGGACCUGAAGGUCAGGGACUUAGAGAGUAUAGAGAGGUCAUUCUACCUGGCCGUGGGUUGUAUGGGUAGCAGAGGGCUGCAGGUGGACCAGUGGGAAUGACAGACUGCACAUCUGUCACGUUAAGAGACAGAGACAACCUUGACACUCUCAGAAUUCCGUUUUCCAGAGUGGUGUGCAGUCAAUUGGGUUGUACCGUGGCGGAGAUCUUUGUGGGCUAUACUCGGCCUUGUCUCAGGAUGGACAUGAGCCCUAGGACCAUGCCCCAGGACUACCUGACAUGAUGACUCCUUGCUGUCCCCAGUCCACCUGGCCAUGCUGCUGCUCCAGUUUCAACUGGCCUGGGCCCUAGGACCAUGUCCCAGGACUACCUGACAUGAUGACUCCUUGCUGUCCCCAGUCCACCUGGCCAUGCUGCUGCUCCAGUUUCAACUGUUCUGCCUUACUAUUAUUCAACCAUGCUGGUCAUUUAUGAACAUUUGAACAUCUUGGCCACGUUCUGUUAUAAUCUCCACCCGGCACAGCCAGAAGAGCUCUGGCCACCCCACAUAUGCUCUCUCUAAUUCUCUCUUUCUUUCUCUCUCUCGGAGGACCUGAGCCCUAGGACCGUGCCCCAGGACUACCUGACAUGAUGGCUCCUUGCUGUCCCCAGUCCACCUGACUGUGCUGCUGCUCCAGUUUCAACUGUUCUGCCUUAUUAUUAUUCGACCAUGCUGGUCAUUUAUGAACAUUUGAACAUCUUGGUCAUGUUCUGUUAUAAUCUCUACCCGGCACAGCCAGAAGAGGACUGGCCACCCCACAUAGCCCGGUUCCUCUCUAGGUUUCUUCCUAGGUUUUGGCCUUUCUAGGGAGUUUUUCCUAGCCACCGUGCUUUUACACCUGCAUUGUUUGCUGUUUGGGGUUUUAGGCUGGGUUUCUGUACAGCACUUUGAGAUAUCAGCUGAUGUACGAAGGGCUAUAUAAAUAAAUUCGAUUUGAUUUGAUUUGA